rnacentral:rRNA from 1 species
AGUGAACGCUGGCGGUAGGCCUAACACAUGCAAGUCGAACGGCGGCACAGUAAGAGCUUGCUCUUACGGGUGGCGAGUGGCGGACGGGUGAGGAAUACAUCGGAAUCUACUUUUUCGUGGGGGAUAACGUAGGGAAACUUACGCUAAUACCGCAUACGACCUACGGGUGGAAGCAGGGGAUCUUCGGACCUUGCGCGAUUGAAUGAGCCGAUGUCGGAUUAGCUAGUUGGCGGGGUAAAGGCCCACCAAGGCGACGAUCCGUAGCUGGUCUGAGAGGAUGAUCAGCCACACUGGAACUGAGACACGGUCCAGACUCCUACGGGAGGCAGCAGUGGGGAAUAUUGGACAAUGGGCGCAAGCCUGAUCCAGCCAUACCGCGUGGGUGAAGAAGGCCUUCGGGUUGUAAAGCCCUUUUGUUGGGAAAGAAAAGCAGCAGGUUAAUACCCCGCUGUUCUGACGGUACCCAAAGAAUAAGCACCGGCUAACUUCG